UUCUUUAUUGCUUGCUUUGGGUGCUGGUUAGAUGCUUGAGUUCAGUUUGUGAAGAUUCAUUGAGCUGCACACUUAUGAUGAUUCAGACCUAUCUGGGCAUGCCUGGAGUCCGGUUGGGAUAGGCCUUCUGGAAUUCUAUUUAUAAGACAAGUUAAGUCGCCUCCAGGAACUAAUCCCACUGGAAGAAAGAACCAAGGGAGAGCACAGCCUUCUGAACCUCUAAGAAUCCUCUGAAGAAUCAAAGUGCACAUAGCCAUUGGCAGUGUGCUAGCUGACUGACCUCUGUGCCUGGACAGACAGAACCAAAAUACACUCUGAACAAUAAGCAUGAUCUGCAUAAAAUAGCAGAGAGAGAUGUCUUAAACCAGCCCCCAAAUCCAGGUAAGUUUUUGCCAGUUGUUUCUCUGAGAUGCUUCAAUCAUUG